AAGCGGUAAUGAAAACAAAAACAAAGUUAUUUGACUGAAUAUGCAUUUUAUUGAUUGAAAAAGUGUGGCUCAAAUCGAGCAAUACAAAGGAAGCAAUUCCUGAAAAGAGGUAAUUGCACACAAAAGGAAAAAUCUAUCCUAAUGGCAAUGUGAAACUCGUGAUCUCAUCGAGUUCCAACUCGGUUACACCCCAUAUGUCCUCAGACUCUCCGUGCUUUCUGCCUUC
rnacentral:lncRNA from 1 species